AUCUAUUUAGUUUAUUUUUAGAAUAAUAUUUUGAAAAGAUAUAGGAAUGUUUUAGAUG
rnacentral:tRNA from 1 species